rnacentral:rRNA from 1 species
UCUGAUGUUAGCGGCGGACGGGUGAGUAACACGUGGAUAACCUACCUAUAAGACUGGGAUAACUUCGGGAAACCGGAGCUAAUACCGGAUAAUAUUUUGAACCGCAUGGUUCAAAAGUGAAAGACGGUCUUGCUGUCACUUAUAGAUGGAUCCGCGCUGCAUUAGCUAGUUGGUAAGGUAACGGCUUACCAAGGCAACGAUGCAUAGCCGACCUGAGAGGGUGAUCGGCCACACUGGAACUGAGACACGGUCCAGACUCCUACGGGAGGCAGCAGUAGGGAAUCUUCCGCAAUGGGCGAAAGCCUGACGGAGCAACGCCGCGUGAGUGAUGAAGGUCUUCGGAUCGUAAAACUCUGUUAUUAGGGAAGAACAUAUGUGUAAGUAACUGUGCACAUCUUGACGGUACCUAAUCAGAAAGCCACGGCUAACUACGUGCCAGCAGCCGCGGUAAUACGUAGGUGGCAAGCGUUAUCCGGAAUUAUUGGGCGUAAAGCGCGCGUAGGCGGUUUUUUAAGUCUGAUGUGAAAGCCCACGGCUCAACCGUGGAGGGUCAUUGGAAACUGGAAAACUUGAGUGCAGAAGAGGAAAGUGGAAUUCCAUGUGUAGCGGUGAAAUGCGCAGAGAUAUGGAGGAACACCAGUGGCGAAGGCGACUUUCUGGUCUGUAACUGACGCUGAUGUGCGAAAGCGUGGGGAUCAAACAGGAUUAGAUACCCUGGUAGUCCACGCCGUAAACGAUGAGUGCUAAGUGUUAGGGGGUUUCCGCCCCUUAGUGCUGCAGCUAACGCAUUAAGCACUCCGCCUGGGGAGUACGACCGCAAGGUUGAAACUCAAAGGAAUUGACGGGGACCCGCACAAGCGGUGGAGCAUGUGGUUUAAUUCGAAGCAACGCGAAGAACCUUACCAAAUCUUGACAUCCUUUGACAACUCUAGAGAUAGAGCCUUCCCCUUCGGGGGACAAAGUGACAGGUGGUGCAUGGUUGUCGUCAGCUCGUGUCGUGAGAUGUUGGGUUAAGUCCCGCAACGAGCGCAACCCUUAAGCUUAGUUGCC